AGGCGCCUGGAAUGUUGGUUACAGCUAUAAAUUUUACCACUGACUAUUUUUCGGGAGAACGUGUUCCUUUGUCUAUGACAAGCUGCUUUAAGCAGAAGUCAGAAGCAAUGGAUAGUCCACCCACCUAACUAAGGUGUGGUGUGAAAUUUGUACGUAACGGCAUUCUGGACGUAAA
rnacentral:other from 1 species